AACGAACGCUGGCGGCAGGCUUAACACAUGCAAGUCGAACGCCCCGCAAGGGGAGUGGCAGACGGGUGAGUAACGCGUGGGAAUCUACCCAGUUCUACGGAACAACAGUUGGAAACGACUGCUAAUACCGUAUACGCCCUACGGGGGAAAGAUUUAUCGGAAUUGGAUGAGCCCGCGUAAGAUUAGCUAGUUGGUGGGGUAAUGGCCUACCAAGGCGACGAUCUUUAGCUGGUCUGAGAGGAUGAUCAGCCACACUGGGACUGAGACACGGCCCAGACUCCUACGGGAGGCAGCAGUGGGGAAUAUUGGACAAUGGGCGCAAGCCUGAUCCAGCCAUGCCGCGUGAGUGAUGAAGGCCUUAGGGUUGUAAAGCUCUUUCGCCGACGAAGAUAAUGACGGUAGUCGGAGAAGAAGCCCCGGCUAACUUCGUGCCAGCAGCCGCCGUAAAAC
rnacentral:rRNA from 1 species